rnacentral:rRNA from 1 species
UGGGGAAUAUUGCACAAUGGGCGCAAGCCUGAUGCAGCCAUGCCGCGUGUAUGAAGAAGGCCCUAGGGUUGUAAAGUACUUUCAGUCGGGAGGAAGGCGUUGUUGCUAAUAUCAACAACGAUUGACGUUACCGACAGAAGAAGCACCGGCUAACUCCGUGCCAGCAGCCGCGGUAAUACGGAGGGUGCAAGCGUUAAUCGGAAUUACUGGGCGUAAAGCGCACGCAGGCGGUUGAUUAAGUUAGAUGUGAAAUCCCCGGGCUUAACCUGGGAAUGGCAUCUAAGACUGGUCAGCUAGAGUCUUGUAGAGGGGGGUAGAAUUCCAUGUGUAGCGGUGAAAUGCGUAGAGAUGUGGAGGAAUACCGGUGGCGAAGGCGGCCCCCUGGACAAAGACUGACGCUCAGGUGCGAAAGCGUGGGGAGCAAACAGG